GUGCACCAGGCGCGAAAACUUUACAAUGUGCGAAAGCACGAUAAGGGAACUCUGAGUGCCUCCUAAGGAGGCUGUUCUGAUGUCUAAAAAGCAACAGAAGUAAGGGCUGGGUAAGACCGGUGCCAGCCGCCGCGGUAACACCGGCAGCCCAAGUGGUAGCCACGUUUAUUGGGUCUAAAGCGUUCGUAGCCGGCCAGGUAAGUUCCUUGGUAAAUUUAGCCGCUUAACGGUUAAGCUUUCAGGGAAUACUGCUUGGCUUGGGACUGGGAGAGGUCAGAGGUACUCCGGGGGUAGGGGUGAAAUCUAUUAAUCCCUGGGGGACCACCGGUAGCGAAGGCGUCUGACCAGACCAGGUCCGACGGUGAGGGACGAAGGCUAGGGGCGCGAACCGGAUUAGAUACCCCUGUAGU
rnacentral:rRNA from 1 species